UACAGAGGGGGCAAGCGUUGUUCGGAAUUACUGGGCGUAAAGGGCGCGUAGGCGGCCGCCUAAGUCAGACGUGAAAUCCCUCGGCUCAACCGGGGAACUGCGUCUGAUACUGGGUGGCUUGAAUCCGGGAGAGGGAUGCAGAAUUCCAGGUGUAGCGGUGAAAUGCGUAGAUAUCUGGAGGAAUACCGGUGGCGAAGGCGGCAUCCUGGACCGGCAUUGACGCUGAGGAGCGAAAGCCAGGGGAGCAAACGGG
rnacentral:rRNA from 1 species